UCACUGGGUAAGGUUCGCCCCCG
rnacentral:miRNA from 1 species